rnacentral:misc_RNA from 1 species
UUUCCGUAGGUGAACCUGCGGAAGGAUCAUUAUUGUAUAACCGAUGUGCGAGGGCUGCUGUUGACCCGCAAGGUCGUGCACGCCCGAGUGCGCUCACACACAUCCAUCUCACCCCCAGGUGCACCACCGCGCGGGUCCCUCUUUGGCCUGUUCGGAGGGGGGUUUACGUUUUCACAUAAACUUUGUAUUCAGUCUAGAAUUUAUUUUUUGUUUUUGUGCUCUCUGAAUCAAUUCAACUUUCAAUAACGGCUGUCUUGGCCCCCUCAUCGAUGGAGAAUG